rnacentral:rRNA from 1 species
UACGAAGGGGGCUAGCGUUGUUCGGAAUUACUGGGCGUAAAGCGCACGUAGGCGGAUCGAUCAGUCAGGGGUGAAAUCCCAGGGCUCAACCCUGGAACUGCCUUUGAUACUGUCGAUCUGGAGUAUGGAAGAGGUGAGUGGAAUUCCGAGUGUAGAGGUGAAAUUCGUAGAUAUUCGGAGGAACACCAGUGGCGAAGGCGGCUCACUGGUCCAUUACUGACGCUGAGGUGCGAAAGCGUGGGGAGCGAACAGG